ensembl:lncRNA
AUUUUUUCUGACUCUAGGACACACCUGAUGCUCUUUGCCUCUCCCCAUUGACUAAAGGAAUUGAUUUGGGUCCUGAGCAUCCUUUGUGAUCCCCUGGUUUACUUUAGCUGCCAGAGCUCUGCUGCCUUCCUGUAUUUUUGUGACCACCAUGCAUAAGUAGAAUCACACAGUAAAGUUCAAAUCCUUCUCCCUUGCUUCUACUGAAGAAGAAAGAAAAGGAAAGGGAUAAAGAUGAUUGAAUAGAGGGAACUCCAAGGACUUAGAGGAAGAUGGAGCCACAACAUGACAGGAGCCUGGGUUCCUGAGC